rnacentral:tRNA from 1 species
CAAAAGACCUAAACUCUUUCCACAGGGGUUCAAAUCCUCUCGUCAACU